UACGUAGGGUGCAAGCGUUGUCCGGAAUUAUUGGGCGUAAAGAGCUCGUAGGCGGUUUGUCGCGUCUGCUGUGAAAACUCGGGGCUCAACCCCGAGCUUGCAGUGGGUACGGGCAGACUAGAGUGCGGUAGGGGAGAUUGGAAUUCCCGGUGUAGCGGUGAAAUGCGCAGAUAUCGGGAGGAACACCUAUGGCGAAGGCAGCUCGCUGGGACGUUACUGACGCUGAGGCGCGAAAGCCAGGGGAGCAAACGGG
rnacentral:rRNA from 1 species